AAAACAUUCAGUCUGGUAAAACAGCUUGACUGCAGCAGAACACCCUUUCGGAAUUCAAAUUAAGUAAAGUUAUAAAUUCAAAAUUUAAAGUGAAACAACAGAGACUCUUCAACAUGCGGUUUCGUUCGGGAACACAACAGAACCUCGUACCUCGAGAGUCUUAGAUGGGAUGUAAUACAUCAUCCACUAAUACACUCUUGCCAUUGCCAAUCGAUGGCUAAUGGCUGAUGGCAAUGGCAAUGACGAUGGCAAUCGAUGUGCGGCUUGAUAACAAAGGGAUAAACACUAUACGUGGGAAGCACUGAUGGUACCCGUCCCGCCGGACGCGAAGUUUGCAUUGGUCGCUGUAUAAAAGAAACGACUGUCUACAUGCUUAUAUUGUCAACACAAAAAUAAAAAUCACUGAUCAAUCGAAA